rnacentral:rRNA from 1 species
CAAUAGCGUAUACUAAUGUUGUUGCAGUUAAAAAGCUCGUAGUUGAACUUCUGGUAGGAGUGUCCCGGCCUUUUUGUUUUUACAAAUUGUAUGCUGUGUGACAUCUCUGGCCAUCCUUCUUCUUUGUUUAAAGAAGAUCUUUCACUGUAAAAAAAUUAGGGUGUUCAAAGCAAAAGUUUCUUUGGAAUAUAUUAGUAUGGGAUGAUAAGAUAGGCUCUAGAUGCUAUUUUGUUGGUUUGCACAUUUAGAGAAUGAUUAACAGGGACAGUUGGGGGUAUUCGUAUUUACAUGUCAGAGGUGAAAUUCUUGGAUUUUGGAAAGAUGAACUACUGCGAAAGCAUUUACCAAGGAUGUUUUCAUUAA